AAGCGGCACUCUGUGGCAGAUGAUCAGAACUGUCUGACGCAACGUGAACUUGCUACUGCAGCAGAGUCUAACCUAUUCUGGCGCUCUCUCUCCUCCGUGAGACAAGACGUUGUACAAACUUAGACAGU